GGGCGCCUAUGGAACUCGACCCGCAGGCCAAAGGGGCUCCGUUGCAAGGAAGAAGUGCGGGGUCCCGCCGCCUCCUAGACCGAGAUCGCGGUGAGCGGGCCGCGGCGCACAAUGGGCACGGCCUGGGCGGCGGCGCCUGCACUAUCGCCCUGCGCCUGCGGAUCCUGGUAACAUUGCGCGGCAGGCCCCAGGCCGGCCUCCCUCAGCUUCGCGGACUGUCUGGGCCGGGGGUCUCAACCUUGACUUCAGGGCCGGGUCGCUGGGGCAGACCCUUAGUGAUGUUCAGGUCCUCUGGGCCCCUGCCAGUCAAGGGACGCUCGUCGCGCGCCAAUUGUUAAGUCUUUCAUUGUUUCUGUAAACCUGCUGACCCCCUCCCAGCGCAUAGGGAGACUGCGCACGUGCGUCCGCCCCCGCGCGCACUGCGGAGAGGUAGAGGCAGGAAUGUAGUACAAGGAGCCAGCUGGUCCACCAGAAGUCUGUGUUCUGCCUGUCCCUGCAGCACGGAGGGCUGGGCUUUAUACCUGUGCCAAGGACACCAA
rnacentral:lncRNA from 1 species